UCUUACAGCAUGUUGCGAGUCCCGUUUAACCAAGUAAACGACCUCAUUUUCUUACCAAAUUUUAACUGAACAUACUUUCAUGUGUCUUCUGUCAUGUGACCAAAAUUCAGCUUCAUCCAAGUUCAAAUAGAUUUAUAGUGAUUUUUCCAAUACAAUCUGCCCUGUUCAGGCUGGUUAGGGGAAAAAUGAUUAUAAACUCUAAAUGACUAGGAAUUUCCAGCUCAAAAUUCAUCCCUACAAACUACACAUGCAUGAACUUAUUUUGCCACUGAUUUUGUUGAGUUUCGACUUCCAAGUCUGUCUGAAUGAUUUUUCAAAGUUGGUCUAUUUUCUGUAAUCUUGGGACAUGAUAAAAGUUGAAAUGCUUAUGCUUUAACCUUAUUUUUUGGACAAGUGUAUGAAGAUAUGAUUUCUAAUGUGAAAUAUUGAAGGAGAAAUAGUUGUUUUUGACUAAUCUAAUGUCUUGUAGGAUAUAUGCAUAAAUAAUAGACAAGAAUUAAGAAAUUAAGUUAGAAAAUAAUGGUUAACUGUAUGAAUUUGAUACUUUAUAUGCGAAAGUGAAAUAUAUAUUGAAGGGUAAUCCUAUCCCAGGAAAUAACAAGGACAAGGAGAAGGAGCAUGAAUAAAGUGAUUCGUGUGUCAAGAGCGUUUUGGAUUUCGAGAUUAGAGGAUCAGACCUAGCUCUUUUAUUGUUCAGCUGCAGCCAGGUCACUAGCCAGUCUUUUGAGUUCGAGUAAUUCUUGGAUAUGUUAGUUGUGGCAUGUAUAGAAAGUGUAAUGUUGUUUGGACGUUCAUUUACUUCGUUAUCCAGGUCGUAUAAAUAUAUAUA